rnacentral:rRNA from 1 species
GAUCUGUGGGUAGGGGUGAAAGGCCAAUCAAACUCGGAAAUAGCUCGUACUCCCCGAAAUGCAUUUAGGUGCAGCGUUAGUUAUAAAGUUAUAUAGAGGUAGAGCUACUGAUUGGAUGCGGGGGCUUCACCGCCUACCAAUUCCUGACAAACUCCGAAUGCUAUAUAAUGUUCACUAACAGUGAGGGCUUGGGUGCUAAGGUCCAAGUCCGAGAGGGAAAGAACCCAGACCAUCAGCUAAGGUCCCCAAAUAUAUACUAAGUUGAAAGAACGAGGUUUGUCUGCAUAGACAGCUAGGAUGUUGGCUUGGAAGCAGCCAUUCAUUUAAAGAGUGCGUAACAGCUCACUAGUCGAGCGGACGAGCAUGGAUAAUAAUCGGGCAUAAGUAUAUUACCGAAGCUAUGGAUUUACAAUUUAUUGUAAGUGGUAGGGGAGCAUUCUAACAGGGUAGAAGGUGAGUCGUAAGGCCUGCUGGACCGGUUAGAAAAGAAAAUGUAGGCAUAAGUAACGAUAAUGCGGGCGAGAAACCCGCACACCGAAAGACUAAGGUUUCCACAGCUAUGCUAAUCAGCUGUGGGUUAGUCGGGACCUAAGGCGAACCCGAAAGGGACAGUCGAUGGACAACGGGUUAAUAUUCCCGUACUACUGUUAACUGUGAUGGGGUGACGGAGUGAUGAAAGUGCCGCGAACUGACGGAAUAGUUCGUUGAAGUACCUACCUAUAAGACCCGCAGGCAAAUCCACGGGUCUUGGGGAAAUACGAUAGUACUCGGCGUCUUCGGACAAAGAGAUAGUGCACCUAAGGGCUUCCAAGAAAAACCUCUAAACUUCAGGUUAAUAGUACCCGUACCGCAAACCGACACAGGUAGUCGAGAUGAGAAUUCUAAGGUGCUCGAGAGAUUCAUGGCUAAGGAAUUAGGCAAAAUAGACCCGUAACUUCGGGAGAAGGGUCGCCAGCAGCAAUGCUGGCCGCAGUGAAGAGGUCCAGGCGACUGUUUAUCAAAAACACAGGGCUCUGCAAAAUCGUAAGAUGAAGUAUAGGGCCUGACACCUGCCCGGUGCUGGAAGGUUAAGUGGAGAUGUUAUCUUCGGAGAAGCAUUGAAAUGAAGCCCCAGUAAACGGCGGCCGUAACUAUAACGGUCCUAAGGUAGCGAAAUUCCUUGUCGGGUAAGUUCCGACCUGCACGAAUGGUGUAACGAUCUGGACACUGUCUCAGCCAUGAGCUCGGUGAAAUUGUAGUAGCGGUGAAGAUGCCGCUUACCCGCAGUGGGACGAAAAGACCCUGUGCACCUUUACUAUAGCUUAGUAUUGACCUUGGAUAAAUGAUGUGUAGGAUAGGUUGGAGACUGUGAAGUGGCGUCGCUAGGCGUCGUGGAGUCAUUGUUGAAAUACAACCCUUUGUUUAUCUAGGGCCUAACCCCGCGUUUGCGGGGGACAUUGCUUGGUGGGUAGUUUGACUGGGGUGGUCGCCUCCAAAAGAGUAACGGAGGCUUCUAAAGGUUCCCUCAGUACGCUUGGUAACCGUGCGUAGAGUGCAAUGGCAUAAGGGAGCUUGACUGAGAGACAUACAGGUCGAUCAGGUACGAAAGUAGAGCAUAGUGAUCCGGUGGUUCCGCAUGGAAGGGCCAUCGCUCAAAGGAUAAAAGGUACG